UGCAGUCGAACGAGAAGUCCUUCGGGAUGAGUACAGUGGCGCACGGGUGAGUAACGCGUAGAUGAUAUGCCUUUUAGUGGGGGACAACAUCGGGAAACCGGUGCUAAUACCGCAUAAGCUUAGUGACCUUGAAAAAGCUAAGGAAAGGGGGCUUCGGCUCUCGCUGAAAGAUUGGUCUGCGUGACAUUAGCUUGUUGGUGGGGUAAUGGCCUACCAAGGCGACGAUGUCUAGCUGGUCUGAGAGGAUGAUCAGUCACACUGGAACUGAGACACGGUCCAGACUCCUACGGGAGGCAGCAGUAGGGAAUAUUGCACAAUGGGGGAAGCCCUGAUGCAGCAAUGCCACGUGAGUGAGGAAGGCCUUCGGGUUGUAAAGCUCUGUCCUAUAGGAAGAACGGCAUUAUGGUUAAUACCCAUAGUGUUUGACGGUACUAUAGAAGAAGCACCGGCUAACUCCGUGCCAGCAGCCGCGGUAAUACGGAGGGUGCAAGCGUUGUUCGGAUUUACUGGGCGUAAAGCGCGCGCAGGCGGACUAGCAAGUCAGAUGUGAAAUCUCG
rnacentral:rRNA from 1 species